UUGCCAGCCCGCUCAGGUGUGCCAGCCGCCGCGGUAAUACGUAGGUGGCAAGCGUUAUCCGGAUUUACUGGGUGUAAAGGGCGUGUAGCCGGGCUGACAAGUCAGAUGUGAAAUCCGGGGGCUCAACCCCCGAACUGCAUUUGAAACUGUUGGUCUUGAGUAUCGGAGAGGCAGGCGGAAUUCCUAGUGUAGCGGUGAAAUGCGUAGAUAUUAGGAGGAACACCAGUGGCGAAGGCGGCCUGCUGGACGACAACUGACGGUGAGGCGCGAAAGCGUGGGGAGCAAACAGG
rnacentral:rRNA from 1 species